rnacentral:rRNA from 1 species
CCUACGGGAGGCUGCAGUGAGGAAUAUUGGUCAAUGGACGAGAGUCUGAACCAGCCAAGUAGCGUGAAGGAUGACUGCCCUCUGGGUUGUAAACUUCUUUUAUCAAGGAAUAAAACGAGGCACGUGUGCCUUUUUGCAUGUACUUUAUGAAUAAGGAUCGGCUAACUCCGUGCCAGCAGCCGCGGUAAUACGGAGGAUCCGAGCGUUAUCCGGAUUUAUUGGGUUUAAAGGGAGCGUAGAUGGGUUGUUAAGUCAGUUGUGAAAGUUUGCGGCUAAACCGUAAAAUUGCAAUUGAUACUGGCAGUCUGGAGUACAGUUGAGGUAGGCGGAAUUCGUGGUGUAGCGGUGAAAUGCGUAGAGAUCACGAAGAACCCCGAUUGCGAAGGCAGCUUACUAAACUGUGACUGACAUUGAUGCGCGAAAGUGUGGGUAUCAAACAGGAUUAGAUACCCUUGUAGUC